rnacentral:rRNA from 1 species
UACAGAGGUCUCAAGCGUUGUUCGGAUUCAUUGGGCGUAAAGGGUGCGUAGGCGGCGCGGUAAGUCGGGUGUGAAAUCUUGGAGCUUAACUCCGAAACUGCAUUCGAUACUGCCGUGCUUGAGGACUGGAGAGGAGACUGGAAUUUACGGUGUAGCGGUGAAAUGCGUAGAUAUCGUAAGGAAGACCAGUGGCGAAGGCGGCGACCUGGACAGGAACUGACACUCAACUGCGAAAGCGUGGGGAGCAAACAGG